rnacentral:lncRNA from 1 species
UCGCGCCAUCGCACUCCAGCCUGGGCUACAGAGUGAGACUCCGUCUCAAAAAAAAGAAAGAAAAAAAAAAGUCUUGUGAAUUUGUACAUAGAAUAUUGAAGUUAGAAGAGGCUUAUCACUCUCUGGGCUCUAAUACUGCCCAGAGGUUAUUUGUUUCUUGUUUCCAUAAGAAAAUCCUAUGUCUCUCCAUUAGCAUUCCUGAUCCUUACCUCCAAUUCAAAAUGUGGCCAGUUCCACCUUCUAAGCCUUUAUACCAAAUUGACUGGGUAGGUUUAUUAUGAAUCUGUGUUCUUGUCCAAACUCUACAUUAGACCUCGCAGGAGAGUUCAAACUAAAAACUAAUGAGUAAGUGCAAUAUUACAAUUGAAACGGGAGCAAACAUAAUUUCAAGUAGGACACAUAAAAACUGUGGGACCAAAAGAGGAAGAGUGCACGCCAAAUGUUCUCAAUUCUGAAAUGGCUCUUGUGAAAUAUCUAUGUGAAAACACUUCAAGGACCUGAAAAAAAAAUGGUGAAAAAGCGAACAACCUUCCUUGCAAAACAACUCCAGAGUUAAUGCCAGAGCUUUCUAUCAAAACAUCCAUGUUAAGUUCGCCGGAAAGAUUCAGAAGAUCAAUGACAGGAGUAAGGGAAAAAACAAGGACAUUUUGUGAGUAGGAACGUAUAAUGACCCUGCAACAGGAGAACGAGAGAGGGGGAAGAAGGAAAUGGAGGGUGUAAGUAAAUUAAUUGACUGUAACAUGUUUAAUGAAAUAAGUAGACGUGUGAUGCAAAUUUCUUAAUAGUCAAACAUUAUGCAACAUAUGAUGCAUAAGAAUUGUACUAUCUCAAAUUUUUUUUAACGUGAGAUUCUCUUGAUGCCACUUUCAUUUACCUACACACACACAAAUGGCACAAAUCACAUAUACAUAUACUGACACGAAAAUAUAUAUGUGGGAGGGAGAGAAAGAGGGAGGAUAACUUUAAUCAUGAUACACUGCCAAUAUAAGAACUCCCUUUUGGCCGGGCGUGAUGGCUCACACCUGUAAUCCCAGCACGUUGGGAGUACAGGCGUGAACCACCGCGCCCGGCCGGAUUUUAGACAAUUCUACAUCGUCUGUUGAAUCUAUCGUCUGUUGAAUCAGCUUUCUAUUAACCACACACUAUAGAAGUGAAACCAACCUGUACUACCAAGAGUGUAUUAAUUUUGCAUGCAUUUCCUAGUAAACAAUGUAGACAGUAUUAAUUUUUAUGUUGCCAAGGUAAUAGUUUUGUCCCUCAACUCAUAUGCUAAAUUUUGCCUCACCUGGCUCAGUCAGAAGGAACAGAAUUGACAAUAUUAACUAGUCUCAGUUAUCUCCACUGACAGAAAAAAAAACGUGUUAUUUUCUACACUGACUGUGGGAAUCAGCAUUUUCUGUUAUUAACUUAGAUUUUUUUUCUUGCCAUUUCUCUUUAUGAUCCCAAUGUAUUGAUGUAUUUCUAACACUACAACAAGAUUUGUGUCACUCAACUGUGUGUUGUAAUCAUUGUCUUUUAACCAUUUAUAUCCAUGAAACUGAUGUCAUUGACAGAUAGAAAACAGAAACAAAAAGCAUAGAAGGGAGAGAGGGAGGAAGACUUUAGUCAUGAUACAAUACCAAUGUAAGGACUCCUUUUAAGAAAGAUUUAAAAAAAUUUCUUCAUCAAAAUUUCCAUUGCCUCCUUGAAUGAACUGUGAAGGAUUGCAAAUUCCUUUAAAACUUGGUUUUGGCAACGAAUCUGGAUUUCCUUCAUUAACCAGGUAUACAGAAUUCAUUUUCCAAUGCUCUAUUAAAAAUAAGAGGCUGGGCACGGUGGCUCACGCCUGUAAUCCCAGCACUUU